GACGUAGGGGGCCAGCGUUGUUCGGAAUUACUGGGUGUAAAGGGUUCGUAGGCGGUGUGGCAAGUUGGGAGUGAAAUCUCUGGGCUCAACCCAGAGGCUGCUUCCAAAACUGCUGUGCUUGAGUGUGAGAGAGGCUCGUGGAAUUGCAGGUGUAGCGGUGAAAUGCGUAGAUAUCUGGAGGAACACCGGUGGCGAAGGCGGCAUCCUGGACCAACACUGACACUGAGGAGCGAAAGCCAGGGGAGCAAACGGG
rnacentral:rRNA from 1 species